rnacentral:rRNA from 1 species
UACGGGGGGAGCAAGCGUUGUUCGGAUUUACUGGGCGUAAAGGGCGCGUAGGCGGAUUGUUAAGUCGGGGGUGAAAUCCUGGAGCUCAACUCCAGAACUGCCUUCGAUACUGGCGAUCUCGAGUUCGGGAGAGGUGAGUGGAACUGCGAGUGUAGAGGUGAAAUUCGUAGAUAUUCGCAAGAACACCAGUGGCGAAGGCGGCUCACUGGCCCGGUACUGACGCUGAGGUGCGAAAGCGUGGGGAGCAAACAGG